UUUGAGUUACGUCAAAAUGACCAUGGCCGCCACACUAGCGUUUUCGUUUCUUGGGAUUCAAAUCUCUGCGUCAGAGCCGCCGCGAAAGCCUUUCUUUAUGCCUACAAGCAAUACGAAACCACUUUCGUCACGCAACACUUGCUUCCCAGAACAAGGAUUUCACUUACCCAAACUGCUUUGAUUGUUUUCAUUCUCCAAAAUCAAAGGCCUCCAUGACCAGAAGCUUUGUCUCGUAGCACAACGACAGUCUUCUUCUUCUUCUUCUUCUUCCUUAUCCUCUGCCUUUUCUAUCCGUUCCUGCUGACUCACUUCAAUCGUCACCAUAUCGGUACUAAUCGUUAUCGCCUCCUUCAGUUUUCCCAACUCCCAUUGCCUCCAUAAAUUCAGUUCGAUUGCUCUAGCUUCUUCGCUCAUUCCUGGUGUUGCUUUCGUUCUGUUAUCGUAUGAUUUCUGGUGAUCUUCGAGCUUUUGUCAACAGAUUCUGGGGUCUGUUUGGGAUACCCAUUUGGGCUUUCGUUUGUUUGGGUUGGGAAUUUUAGGGUUUGUGGCCAGCUCUUCUUGUGUUCUCUUGGCAUCUGCUGUCUUGAGCGGAACUUGGAACCCGGUCGGCGAUUUCCAGGUUGGAAUUUGUUUCACUGAAUCGUUAUUUUUUGUUCAAUUAGGUUUCCUUUUGUUUGAAUCAUUAGGAAAUUCAUCAGCCCUAUGCUGAUCUUAUAGAUUGGGGCCCGAAUGGUCUAAGGCAUGAGCACAUGUACUAUUUCUGGUGCAAAUAAUCAUUUCGUCAGGGUUAGUUUUCGUCUAACCACGCGUACAGUUUCUGGUGCAAAUAAUCAUAGCGUUAGGGUUAGUUUUCGUCUACAAUUGUUGAAAUUUCUGCGUAUCUAAUCGUUGGCCAAAAAAUGGAACCCAUUUUUCAUGUUCCUCUAGUGUUGUUUGAUUAGAGUGCCAUUCAAAAAAAUUAAAACUUUCCUCCUCCUCCCCAACCACCCCCCCACCCCGCCUCUUUUCCCCCUUACUUCGCUCCCUGCUUACAAAAUUGAGGUGUCUGCUGUAUAGUAUAUUAGAGCGUCAUAUAUUCUUUCCUCUGCUGUCAAUUUGGGGUUCAAUAAAACUUAUCUUCUCGACAUCAGCAUUCUUUGUAAUUUUUUUUUUUUACUGAGUUAUGGAUAUAAGUAAUGAGGCCAGAGUUUAUCCUUUCUCAAUUGGACCUUCGACAGUUGUUGGUCGAGCAAUUGCUUUUAAAAUCUUAUUCUGCAAGUCAAUGUCGCAGCUGAGGCAGCAAAUCUUUCACGUGUUGCUGAAUUUGAUGUAUAAAUUUAGGGACUGUUUGGCACCCAAAGUAUCAUGGUUGCAUCCUAGAAACCCACAUGGCAUAUUAGCAAUGAUGACAAUUAUAGCUUUUAUAUUGAAACGAUACACAAAUGUAAAAUCAAGGGCAGAGUUGGCUUAUCGGAGGAAGUUUUGGAGGAAUAUGAUGAGAAUGGCGUUGACUUAUGAAGAGUGGGCUCAUGGUGCCAAAAUGCUUGAUAAAGAGACUCCAAAGAUGAAUGAGUCUGGCCUUUAUGAUGAAGAACUGGUUAGAAACAAGCUACGAGAGCUCCGGCACCGUAGACAGAAGGGCUCUCUUAGAGACAUUAUGUUUUACAUGCGAGCAGAUCUCUUUAGAAAUCUUGGUAAUAUGUGUAACCCUGAGCUUCACAAGGGAAGGCUUCAAGUGCCCAAGUUAAUAAAAGAAUAUAUUGACGAGGUGUCCACUCAGUUGCGAAUGGUUUGUCACUCAGAUUCAGAGGAGCUUGUAUUGGAAGAGAAACUUGCUUUUAUGCAUGAAACAAGACAUGCCUUUGGGAGAACCGCUUUGCUUUUAAGUGGGGGUGCUUCCCUUGGAGCUUUUCAUGUGGGUGUGGUUCGAACACUAAUAGAGCAUAAGGUCAUGCCCCGGAUAAUUGCUGGCUCCAGUGCAGGGUCCGUUAUUUGUGCUGUUCUUGCUACUAAGUCUUGGCCUGAGAUCCAGAGUUUCUUUGAGGAUUCUUUGCACUCAUUGCAGUUUUUUGACCAGAUGGGAGGUAUUUUUACAGUUGUUAAGAGGGUUAUGAGACAAGGGGCUGUUCAUGAAAUCAGGCAACUGCAAAUUCUUUUAAGGCAUCUCACAAGUAAUCUUACAUUUCAAGAAGCUUAUGACAUGACAGGCCGAAUUCUUGGGAUUACAGUCUGCUCCCCAAGGAAGCAUGAGCCCCCAAGACUCCUUAAUUAUUUGACUUCACCUCAUGUUGUCAUAUGGAGUGCAGUCACUGCUUCUUGUGCCUUUCCUGGCCUUUUUGAAGCUCAAGAACUGAUGGCAAAAAAUAGAAGUGGGGAACUUGUUCCUUAUCAUCCACCAUUCCAUUUAGAUCCUGAAGAGGCUUCUAACAUGCCUGCACGCAGAUGGAGGGAUGGUGGCUUGGAGAUGGAUUUACCCAAGAUGCAAUUGAAGGAACUGUUCAAUGUCAAUCAUUUUAUUGUGAGUCAAGCAAACCCUCAUGCUUCAGCAAUAUUGAGGCUGAAGGAGUUUGUGAGAGCUUAUGGUGGGAACUUUGCUGCCAAGCUUGUUCACCUUGCGGAAAUGGAAGUCAAACAUAGAUGCAACCAGAUCGUUGAACUUGGUUUUCCAUUUCAGGGACUUGCCAAGGUGAUGGUACAAGAUUGGGAGGGUGAUAUCACUGUUGUUGUUCCUGCUACACCUGCUCAGUAUUUCAGACUUAUACAGAACCCAACUCACGUGGAGCUUCAGAAGGCAUCCAACCAAGGGAGGAGAUGCAUUUGGGAAAAACUCUCAGCCAUUAAAGCCAACUGUGGCAUAGAACUUGCUCUUGAUGAAUGUGUUGCAAUUCUCAAUCACAUGCGUAGACUUAAAAGGAGUGCUGAGAGAGCUGCUGCUUCUUCUCAUGGCCUAGCCAGCUCGGUUAAAUUCAGUGCUUCUAGAAGAAUUCCCUCUUGGAAUUGCAUCGCACGAGAGAACUCAACGGGGUCCCUAGAGGAAGACCUCCUAACAGAUGUUGCUUCCUCAAUGCAUCAAGUUGUCGGAUGGUCAACAGGAGGAUGCACUGGUUCUAAUUUCCGGAUGCACUGUAAUAUACAUGAUGGAAGCGAUAGUGAAUCUGAGAGUGUGGAUCUCCAUUCAUGGACUCAAUCUGGUGGGCCUUUGAUGAGGACCAUGUCAGCGAAUAUGUUUGUUGACUUUUUUCAAAAUUUGGGCAUUGAUGCUGAGAUGAAUAAAGGGGUGAUGGUUCAUUCCAACCCAACUGUAGAUCAUAUGGGGGGAAGGGAUCAGUAUCAUCAGAGCUCAAGGACAACACCAGAUGGAAGCCCACGCAACACAGAGUUCGAUCAGAGAGAUUUCAGUAAUAGAGGUCUCAUGAACAACUCUAGCAUUAUGGUGACUGAAGGUGAUCUUUUGCAGACUGAAAAAAUCCAUAAUGGGAUUGUGCUUAAUGUUGUGAAGAAGGAAGAUUUAGCUGUUUUGAGUAGGAAUCAUGAUUUGGAAAAUCACAACAAUCUAGUUGCUGAAUGUUUGCAACUUGAAUGUCCAGGUGGGGAAAUGGAUGCCAGCUCAGAAUCUGAAUAUGGGGAUGAUGUCGUUGUAGCUCAUUGCCCAAAUGAAAUGGGUGAUGAUGAUCCUACUGUGGCAAAUUGCCGAAGUGUCGCAUUAUAAUUGUGACUUUGUGGAUCCUUCUACCAUGGCUAUUGGUAAUCACCAUAGUAUUAUUGAUGGUUGACUUUUAAGGGCCAUUCUGCUCACUUGGACAAAGUGAAGUUGUUUCCCACAUUACAGCCUGAUCAGAAGUUCUGCUUUUCGCAGACAGAUUAGGUACUUAUACUUUAAAUGAAAAAAAAAAAAAAAAAUCAAUAGUAAAAGUGUUAGGAUGGCUAAAAUUCAAGCAUUGCUGUUGGAAUAUUUUGGUCCGUAAAUCACUUGGCUUUGAGCUGUCCAUCCAUCAAGAUUGUUGACAGUGAUCUAAUCUUGCGCAAGCACGUAUUGUUUCAAUUGUAAAUUGCAGCCGGUGUUGGAGUGCAUUUGAAAGGGGUGCCCAGCUAGCUCUUGAUACAUGAUGUGUGUGCGCGCAAGUGUGUAUAUAUAUCUCCUUCACUCUUCAAUUUUCAGAGAGAGAAAGAGGAAGAGAGUGAGGGAAGGAAGAUGCCAGCAGUUCACGGAGUGAGGUCGAGGACGAGAGAUCUGUUCUCUUGGCCUUCAGGAAGAAGGGUUACAUCGCGCUCACAAUGUACCUCAGGACCUACAGAAUCGGGGACUACGUCGAUAUCAAGGUUAAUGGCGCUGUGCACAAGGGAAUGCCACAUAAAUUCUACCAUGGUCGCACUGGGCGUGUUUGGAAUGUCACCAAGCGUGCUAUUGAAGUCAACAAGCAGGUUGGUAAUAGAAUAAUCAGAAAAAGGAUCCAUUUUAGAGUCGACCACGUGCAGCCUUCAAGGUGCACCGAGGACUUGAGACUCAGGAAGUUGAAGAAUGACCAAUUGAAAGCCGAGGCAAAGGCAAAGGGUGAGGUUAUCAGCAUGAAGAGGCAGCUGGAGGGCCCCAAACCUGGUUUCAUGGUGGAAGGUGCAACCUUGGAAACUUUUACUCCAAUUCCAUAUGAUGUUGUCAACGAUCUUAAGGGCGGAUACUGGGUUAGCUGUUCUGUUGAUUUUUAAUCUACACCAGACUGGCUUAUGUGGAUGCUUGUCUUGUUGGUUUGCUUUAGAGAUUAAACUUUUCAAUGCAGCCCAGACUUAUUAUUUAUUUCUAGAGAUAGAAAUUAUCCUGUUUUUUGAAAAAAAAAAGUGUGUGUAUGUAUAUAUAUAUAUAUAUAUAUAUAUAUAUAUAUAUAUAUCAAAUUUAACUAUUGCACGUUAUCCCAGGGCAAAGGCAUGAUCUUUUGUCUGAGAGUUGUCUUCAACGAAAGGCUUCAAGUGUUUCCAGUUUA